UUGGAGGGCAAGUCUGGUGCCAGCAGCCGCGGUAAUUCCAGCUCCAAUAGCGUAUAUUAAAGUUGUUGCAGUUAAAAAGCUCGUAGUUGAAUUUCGGGAUCAAUAUAUCGGUCGUGCCAUUGGUACGUACUGGUAUCAUUGGUUUCUCCUUUCUGACGAACCAUGAUGUCAUUAAUUUGGUGUUAUGGGAAGUUAGGACUGUUACUUUGAAAAAAUUAGAGUGUUUAAAGCAGGCUUUAGCUUGAAUACAUUAGCAUGGAAUAAUGAAAUAGGACGUUCGAACCUAUUUUGUUGGUUUCUAGGAUCAACGUAAUGAUUAAUAGGGAUAGUUGGGGGCAUUAGUAUUCAAUUGUCAGAGGUGAAAUUCUUGGAUUUAUUGAAGACUAACUACUGCGAAAGCAUUUGCCAAGGAUGUUUUCAUUAAUCAAGAACGAAAGUUAGGGGAUCGAAGACGAUCAGAUACCGUCGUAGUCUUAACCAUAAACUAUGCCGACUAGGGAUCGGAUGAUGUUAAUUUUUUAAUGACUCAUUCGGCGCCUUACGGGAAAC
rnacentral:rRNA from 1 species